rnacentral:lncRNA from 1 species
GUUCUUCCAGCAGGGUAUCAAAGGACGUAGUCUUCCAAUCAGGGCAUCCAGCAUGGUAUCAAAGGAUGUGGUCUUCCAAUCAGGGCAUGAAGCAUCCAUCUAGCAAAAACUCCUCCUGUACACAUGAUCCCAUCUUUGUGCAAAGGAAUUACGAUGAAAGGAAAAACAGGCACAUUCUGAGGGAUCUUUUUCCCACCAUAAUUUUUCUUUGAGGCAGAGGGUGUGAUGUCUGG